UCUCUCUUAACCCCUUCCCCUCUGUGAAAUUUCCAGAACAUGAAUCUCUUAACCCUCAUUAGAGAGUUAGGGUUUCUAAUCAAGAACAAAGAGACUUUUAAACCAUGUGGACACCAUGAGUAUAGGAAGGGAGAAAGAAGAAUUCAUCCUCAAAAACUACAACUGUGCAAACUUUUACUGAAACUUAGGAAAAUAAAGUCCUUCCCUAAGCUCUUCUAUUCAACCCUCCACCCUGUAGGUCCUCUGCCUGCUUCAGAAGACAACAGGGAGAGGCUUGCUCUGAAGCCUGUGAGGAUCAGGAGAAUUGCUGUGGAGCCCCCAAGCUCACAAUGGGAUUUGGAGACCUACCCUGGACAUUAAGGAGCUGGUGGAAGAAGCCAUCCUCUGAUAUGCCUUCGCCUAGAUCAGGCCUAGAUGGGAGGUAAGGAGUAGCCUCUGGGAGAACCCUGGGAGAACAUCCACUGGUGAAUGCAGCUGUUGCUUUCUGGACAACCCACAGUCUGCGUGGGCAGGGAAGAGCUUGAGAAACAAGAUGCAUGGAGCCAAUGCAUGACAGCAAGCUGCUCCUGAGCAGAUGAUGGACUGAGGGAGAGUUUUGCAACUGCUCAGGAUGGUGUAAACUCUUGCUUCGUUAGUGCCAAAGCCUAGGGCUUCGUGUCCUUCCCGAAUAGGAGCUGAAAGGAGUUAACAACAAGUAGCAGUUGACAUUUACUGAGGGCUGCUUUCAAGGCACAGAAGCACACUGCUGUCUCUACCUCCUUCAUUCCACAGCAAGCUCAGCAGACUGGCUGUAUAUAUUCAGUGGUGAAAGGACUUCUACUUAAUGCAUCUGAACACAGAGGUGAUGAUGUUCCUGGUAGGAUGCAAAAAACUCUUGGAAACAUUCACAUUACAGUGCUUCGGAGUCAUUGUCCUGCCUAGAGGGCUCACCUGCUAAACCUAGAGGUGCUCAACCCCACCAGGAUGCUCACUGCAAAUGCCUGCUGUUCUCUGCCUGUGAGCUUUAAUUCUGGCUCAUGCCCAAGGAAAACCAGCAUUGCUGGAGAUAAGAACCCAGAUGCAAGCUUCAAUCAAUGUUGGAAUAGACAUUGGAAGACAAAGGCACCAUCUUCCUUGCAGAAAUACUGGUGUCCAAGCAACACAGAGAGGCUCUUGGAAGAAAUGGAUGUUAUCCUUCCUGCUACUUCCCACAGGAAGCUAAAGCCCCUCUCUAAAGCUGAUGAGAUUGGGUGCUGCCUUAAGCAGCAGCUGAAUCUUGGGAAGAAGAGCUACUCAGCUUUGCCAGAACCAGACUCAUCAUGUUGGACAGACCAGACUCCAUGUGUAGGCAGCCUCCACCAAAGCCAAGUUCUCUGCAAAGAGUGACAGAAGAAGAUGCCAACUGAUUCCUUGUACAGGAUGGGCUGCGUCAGCAUCAUCUCUGUGUACCUGUCAAUCUUCAGGAUCUUCUGGGUGAGCCACACCUGGGACUACAAACCAAGCAAUGAGGGACCAGUCCCCAGGACUGUGGGGUUACUGGCUUGGGUUUAUACAGGCCUCAGUUCAAAUUCUGGUGAUCUUGGGGAAGUCAUUUUAUCCCCCCCAAACCGGGUUUCCCUAUCUGUAAAAUGGGGCUGUUGAUAGUGGUUGUUUACUACAUUGGGUUUAGGAAGAUUAGAUAAUGUAUAUGCAACCUCUAAUCCAGUGCCUGGCAAGAGUAGAUGAUCAAUAAACAUCCAACUGACUAUUCUUCCUCCCAGGAAUGCCCUUUCUUUUCUACUUUGUGCUUUCUGUCCUGUGUUAUAGCUUAUUCCAAUUGUUUCUUGCUCUGCCCUCCCUCUUUUGCUCUUAAGCUCUGGCCAAUGGACCUCUUUCCUUAGGUACUCAUUCUCUGUUCCUGAUUCUCCCUGUUCUUGUUAGCUCCCCAAACUCCCCCAGUGUUUGAACUUGAGUAAUAUCAGAGAGUUAGAAAAAGAGAGAACAUGUCUGGGCUGCUUCAGUCUCUUUCUUUACACCCCCAUAUUCAGCAGCUUGCCAUAACCCAACCACUGCCCAUGGGAGCAACUGAGCUUAGUGGCUGUGGGUUGAGGAAUUCUGCACUCGGACCCCCCAGACUGCCUGGGUUCAAAUCCUAACCAGUUCUACCCUCCCAUACCUUAAGUAACCUCUUGGUGCCUAUUCUUUAUGUAGAAAUUGGGGAUGAUAACAGUAUUGUUAUAGUACCUCAGGGGCUGUGAUGAUGAAAUAAAUGCACAUAAAGUACCUGGCACACUGGUCCUUACUAAUGAGUUUACCAUCAUCAUCAUCGUCUGUCUAUAGAGAUGUGAUUUCAAUCUUUGAGAGCAAACUUUGUUCUUAGGGGUAUGAACCAAGCACUGGAGGAUCAAACUAAGGUGGAAUUUUCCACCUGGAAGAAGAAUCAGUUCUUACUUACACUCAAAGGUUUUGGACAACGUGACCACAGGUUGGAGACUUUCCGCACAGCUCAUGAGCUGGCUUUUGGCUGGCCCACUGUCUCUGGCAGGACACCAGAAGAUGCCAACACCAGAUGACUGCAUCUCAGGAGUUCUCAGAGCUGCUGGGCCAGAAGAUACACUGUUCUUUCACAUGCAUAGCUCUUACAGAAGAGUCGGGGCCAAUCCUUUUCAGAUUCCUUUUCCUCUGGUUAAUCAAAUUCUAAGAUGAUCACGAUGACUUCUUGUAAUGCUGUCAUUAAGACUAAUGGGGCCAAAUUCAGCUCACCGGUGGUUGCCAUAUGUUCUCUAAUGAUCCAUAAUGGGCACCAAUAAUGAAAGCCUUUUCUCAGAAAUUUGUUUUUUAAAUGAACUGACACUGUCUAGGGCUAAAUAAGAAGAUGACAUUGUCUUCAUUAAAAAAAACUAUAAAAUAUAUUAUUCUUGAAGGGGUCAGUAAAGUAGGAAUAAAAUAAAUUAAGCAACAACCUUUUGGACUCAAAAAAAAAGAUGGGGGUGACAUUCUCAGAGAACAUUUAAGGAACUACGGGUAUGGGGGAGACAGUAUAGAUCUGUGUCCUGGAGUAUGAAUUCAUCAAAUCCUUCGCUAGUUACUUUUGAGAAAGGCCCACUGUAGUGAACACCUGGGAUAUGGGCCCUCUCCUCUGAGGACUACCCCUUAUCCAUUCUCAAAGUCCAUGGGUUUUCAUGUCAAUCCUCCCAACUCUACUCAGUCAAGAUUGAACAAGAGUUGCAGGACUAGGCCAACAGAGUAUAUUCUCUCGAGGCCAGGGACCAGUUAAGGGAUGGGGAAGUCUUCAAAGGAGUUGGGCCCAGAUCGUUGUUCAAACUGUUGGGAGGGACAGACUCUUUUUUUUCCUGCUGGAUUUGGACUUCUAUGGAAGAAAAGACCAUCUUACAAUCAAAAGAAAAAGGUUUAUCUAAGAGGAGAGUCAACAUAAAGGAGAGCUGUGCUGAGAGAUGGUGACAGCUGGGUCCCCAUGGGAAGAUCCAAGUCUCUGGAUUCUGCCAGGUCUAAAAUAGACAUUCUUAAGUAUAUUUGUGAACCAUUAAGUUCCAUUUUACUCAAAGAUAUUUGAACUAGGUUUGCUGUUACUUGCAACCAAGAAUUCUGAUGGGUAAAUUUGCAGGAUAACACAUAGGGUAGUGAAUACUUUCCACACAGCUCAUGAGCUGGCUUUUGGCUGGCCUACUGUCUCUGGCAUGCCACCAGAAGAUGCCACCACCAGAUGACUGCAUCUCAGGAGUUGUCAGAGCUGCUGGGCCAGAAUAUUCAUUGUCUGUACAUUUCAAAGAUGUCACAUGGCGGGGAGUUUAUAGUAAUGCUCAGUUUCCAGAAGGACGGGACUAGCCAGACCUUGUUAGUAACAAGGAAGGCCCUGGAGAGUCCCCAAGCAAAGGCCCUGACAGUAACUUUAGUAGUGCAUGGUGCUUCAUGACUAUAUAUCAGCCUACAGCUGAAUGUCCAGAAGGCAGUUUCUAUAGUUCAUUUAAAGUGUGAGAAAAAGAAUGGGUGUCACCAGUCCAAGUGAAAAUAAACACCAAUUUCCCUUCUGCAGGUUUAGCACAGUAAAUGAAGGCUAAAUAUAGCAACUCUAAGGAGUAAAAAUAAGUAGGAUUUUUCUGUAAGGCUGUGUGUUCACUAUUUAUAUGCUCUCCUUAUUAAUCCCACUACGAAUCUGGCCUGUCUCAAUUGUCUUUGAGCCGUUCUCCCCUCUUGGAGUUCAGAGCGGGUCUCCUGGAGAUAUACUCCAACAUAAACAGUCCUUGCUGAAAGCUGAAGGUUAUCAGAAUGUGUCUGAUGUGUUUGGUUUGCGUUGUAACAUAAGAGAGAGAAAUACAGCUUAUUUUCAAAUCUAUCUGGUUGGCUUUUUAACAAUAUAAAACUCAAAGCAAAAAAGAAUGUCACCGGACCUUAUAUGACACUUAGAAAUGGAAACAGGCUCUUUGUGGAAGAGAAUGUGUGUAUGUGUGGGGGGAGUUCCAGAUGGUGAAGCCUAUUUGACUGUGAAGCAAAACUGUGAUGAAAAUAGGGAACGUCUCAGGCAAGUCAAUUACACAAGAUAUAUUGGUAGAAGAUGUUCCAUGGGGAUCGAGCUAGCAUGAAGUGCUGGAAUGGGAAGAAAACAUUACUAGGCUUCCCCAGCUUUAGCACCUAAAAGAAGUAAAAAUCAUUGACACAAGAAACCAAACAACUGUAAUAUUAUAGAUGAGAAACAUAUGUUCUAACUUAACUAUGAACAGCUCUCUGCAUAUGCCCUGUGUGUUCCUGCCUCUGAGCCUUUUGUCAUUGUUCUCCACUGUCAAAUUCCAAUCUAUCUUUCAAGAUGCAAGCUCGAGUGCCAGUUUGAUUACAAAGCCUUCCUCGACCAAUCCAGCUCAGUCACCUCUCCUGUUUGGAAAAGUCUAGCAGAACGUAGCAUUUAGAUCUUUCAAUCUUGUUUUUACAGUUAUUUUAUAUUUCUGUGUUCUGUCAUCAUUAAGGGCACUCUCCCCAACUAAUUCAUCUUUAAUACACAGGCAUAGUCUAGAGAUACUGCAGGUUCAGCUCCAAACCACAGCAGUAAAGCAAGUCCCAUGAAAUAUUUGAUUUCCCAGUACAUAUAAAAAUUAUGUUUUCACUACAGUCUAUUAAGUAUGCAACAGCAUUAUGUGUAAAAAGAACCAAUUUAUAUACUUUAAUUAAAAAUACUUUAUUGCUAAAAUAUGCUAAUGAUCAAAGCAGGGUUGUAACAAAUUUCCAACUUGUAAAAAACACUGUAUCUACAAAGUUCAAUACAGUGAAGCUACAAUAAAAUGAAUUAUGCCUAUGAUGUGCUUGCAUAUUGAAGACAUUCAGUGACAACUAUUGAAUGAUUGAGAGAAUAAAAAGUAAGAACUGGAGUAAAGCACUUGCCUAGCGUACGUAAGCUCCUGGGUUCAAUCCCCAGCACCAUGAAACAACAAUGACAAACCUCAUAGGGACACUCUGGUCACUGAAGACUCAAACUCCCUGAACUAGAAUAGGAAAAAGGGGUCACAGUUAAGCCUUCUACCUAGAGUUGCUCAGGCUAUGUCUUGCCUGGAUCUUUUUGCACUCUGGAAAGGCAGUAACUGAACUUGAUCCAUGUGGUAGGAACCAUGGCUGCUGGCCGUGCUGGAGAGCAAGACAGAUUCUUAGAACAAAUUCUUUCUAAUUCUUCAGUUAGAAUAUAUAUAUAUAUGAAAACACUAUGGUUGAUAUGUCUUGGUCCUGUGCUUAUCCCAUUUCCCAUACUGUUACCAUCUCUAGGUCAUAAAGAAUUGUGAAUGCAAAAUUAACAUCAGUAAAGAACAAGGUUUUCUAUCAAGUAAUUCCACAAACAAAAUUCAAUUAUUUAAGCACUCUGUUUUUAUAUCCAAUGGAAAUCUAAGAUAUUGCACACAUUUUUCUACAUUCAAAACCUGAAAAUAUCAAAUGUAAUUUACUUUAUUGAGGAAUAAGGAUUGUAAAAAUCAUGAACUGCCUUGUACUGUCAUAUAGUUGGAACCAAAGGAGCUGUUGGGUGUGAAGGGUAGCUUGUUCUUUAUCUAGGCUUCUGCAAUAUCACAGUUUUUAUUUCUUUUUAAAAAGUUCCUCUGUACCUUGCCAUUUCAGCAAUUCACUUUCCACUCUGUAAAUACAACUAUCUCUUAUAAUAUCAAUGUUACUUUCAAAACACUGGAUGUUGGAAACCCAGGAGCCAAAUUUGUUAUAACUGUGUGUGAAAUAAGAUAAACCCUGAACAUGGCAACCUAAGAACCUGCUCCAUCCUCACUUGCUGCUGAAGAAAUAGGGACCACACACCAUCUGCCCACAGUGAUUAAACAAUAGAAUCUUCUGCCUCAGACUCUUUGGAAAUGACCUAGUUCAGCAGACAAUGGAGCUCAAUCAGAUUCAUGCUCAGGAACUGAGGCUGGGAAGCAAUAAAUUCAGAAGAAGCUGUCCUACAGAAAGUGAAGCUAUGAGAUAGCACAGAGGCCAUAGGGGUCCUGACAAUCCAAAGCUGGAAGAAAACAAAGCUAUGAAGGAGAGAAGAUGCAUGGACACUAUAGUGGGAAAGUAGCCCGUGGGAACAUCAAGAAGAAGUAGUUGGUCUGCAAGAUGGCUAACAUACCAACUAGCUGAAUGGUGGCAAUGUGGAGCCCAAAGUGCCACUCCACUUCCUUCUGGCCUGCCUUCCACCUGGGACUCUACCUCCCUGUACUUCCUGCUCUGCCUGGACCCUGACAGCCCUUAACAGACUUUUCCAGGUUCCUGGCCUCAGCUUCCU